rnacentral:rRNA from 1 species
CAGUCGAACGAAACUUCUUUAUCACCGAGUGCUUGCACUCACCGAUAAAGAGUUGAGUGGCGAACGGGUGAGUAACACGUGGGCAACCUGCCCAAAAGAGGGGGAUAACACUUGGAAACAGGUGCUAAUACCGCAUAACCAUAGUUACCGCAUGGUAACUAUGUAAAAGGUGGCUAUGCUACCGCUUUUGGAUGGGCCCGCGGCGCAUUAGCUAGUUGGUGGGGUAAAGGCUUACCAAGGCAAUGAUGCGUAGCCGAACUGAGAGGUUGAUCGGCCACAUUGGGACUGAGACACGGCCCAAACUCCUACGGGAGGCAGCAGUAGGGAAUCUUCCACAAUGGGCGAAAGCCUGAUGGAGCAACGCCGCGUGGGUGAAGAAGGUCUUCGGAUCGUAAAACCCUGUUGUUAGAGAAGAAAGUGCGUGAGAGUAACUGUUCACGUUUCGACGGUAUCUAACCAGAAAGCCACGGCUAACUACGUGCCAGCAGCCGCGGUAAUACGUAGGUGGCAAGCGUUAUCCGGAUUUAUUGGGCGUAAAGGGAACGCAGGCGGUCUUUUAAGUCUGAUGUGAAAGCCUUCGGCUUAACCGGAGUAGUGCAUUGGAAACUGGGAGACUUGAGUGCAGAAGAGGAGAGUGGAACUCCAUGUGUAGCGGUGAAAUGCGUAGAUAAUAUGGAAGAACACCAGUGGCGAAAGCGGCUCUCUGGUCUGUAACUGACGCUGAGGUUCGAAAGCGUGGGUAGCAA